rnacentral:rRNA from 1 species
UACGUAGGGUGCGAGCGUUGUCCGGAAUUAUUGGGCGUAAAGAGCUUGUAGGCGGCCUGUCGCGUCUGCUGUGAAAAUCCGGGGCUCAACCCCGGACUUGCAGUGGGUACGGGCAGACUAGAGUGUGGUAGGGGAGACUGGAAUUCCUGGUGUAGCGGUGAAAUGCGCAGAUAUCAGGAGGAACACCGGUGGCGAAGGCAGGUCUCUGGGCCACUACUGACGCUGAGGCGCGAAAGCGUGGGGAGCAAACAGG